UACGAGGGGGCUAGCGUUGUUCGGAAUCACUGGGCGUAAAGCGCACGUAGGCGGACUUUUAAGUCAGGGGUGAAAUCCCAAGGCUCAACCUUGGAACUGCCUUUGAUACUGGGAGUCUUGAGUUCGGGAGAGGUGAGUGGAACUGCGAGUGUAGAGGUGAAAUUCGUAGAUAUUCGCAAGAACACCAGUGGCGAAGGCGGCUCACUGGCCCGAUACUGACGCUGAGGUGCGAAAGCGUGGGGAGCAAACAGGAUUAGAUACCCCAGUAGU
rnacentral:rRNA from 1 species